ensembl:snRNA U6 U6 spliceosomal RNA
GUGCUCGCUUUGGCAGCACAUAUACUAAAAUUGGAACGAUACAAAGAUUAGCAUGGCCCCUGCACAAGGAUGACAGGCAAAUUCAUGAAGCGUUCCAUAUUUUU